rnacentral:lncRNA from 1 species
CUUUUAAGAUUUUUUACCCCGAACUACGAGGUUUUGAUCCUACCUUUUUAAGAUGGUACGUAGGCAAUGGGUUUAUCCAUUCAAACACAAAAUUGUAAAUAACUUGUAUAUUCUUUUCUCAUCUCCCCAAUCAUGUUUGAACAAAUAAUUUUCACAAAUACCAACCUACCUUACAACAUUUGUAAAAAGGGCUCCCUUAGAGUACUAAGGAUGUUUUGGGUGCUUAAAAC